rnacentral:rRNA from 1 species
UACGGGGGGGGGCAAGCGUUGUUCGGAAUUACUGGGCGUAAAGGGCUCGUAGGCGGCCUUCUAAGUCAGACGUGAAAUCCCUCGGCUCAACCGGGGAACUGCGUCUGAGACUGGAGGGCUUGAAUCCGGGAGAGGGAUGUGGAAUUCCAGGUGUAGCGGUGAAAUGCGUAGAUAUCUGGAGGAACACCGGUGGCGAAGGCGGCAUCCUGGACCGGUAUUGACGCUGAGGCGCGAAAGCCAGGGGAGCAAACGGG